rnacentral:rRNA from 1 species
AUUGAACGCUGGCGGCAGGCCUAACACAUGCAAGUCGAGCGGAGCGGCGGAGGGGUGAGUGAGGCCUAGGUAUCUGCCUGUUAGUGGGGGAUAAGGUCCGGAAACGGGCGCUAAUACCGCAUACUAUCAGAUGAGGCUAGGUCGGAUUAGCUAGUUGGUGGGGUAAAGGCCUACCAAGGCGACGAUCCGUAACUGGUCUGAGAGGAUGAUCAGUCACACUGGAACUGAGACACGGUCCAGACUCCUACGGGAGGCAGCAGUGGGGAAUAUUGGACAAUGGGCGAAAGCCUGAUCCAGCCAUGCCGCGUGUGUGAAGAAGGUCUUCGGAUUGUAAAGCACUUUAAGUUGGGAGGCGUUACCAACAGAAUAAGCACCGGCUAACUUCGUGCCAGCAGCCGCGGUAAUUC